GUGAUCUGCCCGCCUCGGCCUCCCAAAGUGCUAGCAUUACAGGCGUGAGCCACCGCGCCUGGCCGUAUUUAUUAAAUGUGUGUUGAACUUACGUACCCGAGCACAGGCUAGACACUAGGGAGGGGAACGGGCGGUGAUUAGAAAUGAACAAGAUCCUGCCAAGAGGAAUUCACAGUCUAGCGCGCGAGGCAGACCAGAAUGGCUGAGGCAAGAAACCUGUGCCAGGGCCUGGAGUAGGCUCAGAGGCUGUUGGUGAGGCAAAAAGCAUGUUGGCUUUGGAGCCCAGCUCAUCUGGUUUCAAAUCCUAGUUCUGUCAUUUACCAGCUACGUGACAUUGGGCACGUGACUCAAUCUCCCUGAGCCUCAGUUUCCUCGUCUAUAGAAUACAGGCAUUAAUACCUACAUUUCAGGGUUAUUGUAAAACUUAAUUGAGGUGAGAAAAAUGUAUGUAGGUGUCUGGCAUAUGGUACUUAAUAAAUGGUAAAUUUUAAAAUGUCUUUGCUUAUUUUGGUAGUCUGAUAGCUUCUAAAGAUAUGUCCAUGUUCUAAUCCCCAGAACCUGUGAAUGUUACCUUAACUGGAAAAUGGGUUCAUCUUUGAGGAUGUGAUUAAGAAUCUUGAGAUGGGGAGAUUAUUCUGGAUUAUCCAGGUGGGCCCUAAAUGCCAACACAAGUGUCCUUAUGAAAGAGAGAGAGAGAGAGAAAUUAUACAUAUAUCAAAGAGUAGAAGGUGAUGUGAAGACAGAGGCAGAAACUGCAGUGAUGGGGCCACAAGCAAAGGAAUGCUAGUAGCCACUAGAAGCUGAAAGAGACAAGGAACAGAUUCUCCUCUAGAGCCUCCAGAAAGAGCAUACCCCUGCCAACACUUUGAUUUUGGUAUAAUAAAAUGGAUGUUGAACCUCUGAUCUCCAGAAGUGUAAGAGAAUAAACUUCAGUUGUUUUAAGACACCAGAGUUGUGGUUAAUUUGUUACAGCAGCCUUGGGAAACUAAUACACUUAUAAUGGAGAUUUAGUCUGGAACAAAACCAAAAGUUCAUGGUCUAGUGGGACAAGAGAGAAGUAAAGAGACAGUGCAUAGAGGCACCCAGAAGGGAGGCACCUUGUCAGAACUGGGGAGUGGAGGAGUAAGGUAGGCAAGGCUGUUGGAGUUGGAGGACUUAGCCAACUGAGGGGCUGAAACAGGAAGGGCAUACCAGGCAGAGAAACAGUGUAGGUAAAGGCAUGGAUGGAAGAAAACACUGCCUUCAGAAAACUGCCCAUGUUUGGGAUGGCAGGUAUGUUGCGGGCUGCGGGGGCAGCAUGACAGAACUGCUGAGGUGGGCAGCAGGGGCAAGAGAGCCAAGGAUCUUGGCUUCCACCCCAGAAUGGAAUCAAACCCUCCACUCUGCCCUGGCACUGGGCCCAGGUCAUACAAUCCCAGACUGUCGGUACUGGAAAAAACCCUUAGAGACCAUCCAGUAGUCUUGCCAUUUCACACAUAGGGAAACUGAGGCUCACAGAAAGUGAGCCAAUCCAGGGAAUAAGCAAGAACCAGAUGGCUGCACUCUGGCCUCUCUCUUGAGCCUGGGUGUCCCAUAUCUGAGGAUCUCAGAGAUACUGUCUGGUGGGCCCUCUGUAAUCCACUUCCAAAAAGCAGUGGCCUUGUGGUCUCUAGACAAAGAGUGUGUUAUUUGCAUAUUAUUUACAUGUUGAUAAUUAGAUGAGAGAGGCAGAUUCUUUCAGGCCCUCCCCUUCAUGUCCCCCUGUCCUAUUUCACUCACAUCAAGUUGUUCUUCCUCAUACCUCUCUUGACCUCAACAACUUCUCCCAGAAUUCCAGCCCAAGCCUCACUCCUCAAGUUUCCGUACCUAGGCCUAGCUCAACCCCUACUAUAUUAAACAUUUGGUCCUGCCUAGCAAAAUUGCUUGGUGGGUCGUUAGUGUAUCUAGUCUAAGUGGAGGAUCUUGGAACAGGUUACAAUGGAAAGGGAGGCUGUCCAGCUUUGAAGUUUUUUCUGGGAGUGGGGAGAAGUGAGCACUGUCUCCUUGUAGCCCAGUGGCCAUCUGAAUGAGGCUGUGGGAGUGGGGGAGGAGGGUGUUCCUUGGAGAUCUGGUGGGCAGGUAUCAGCUGCAUGCCCCAGGCCUGCCCCAAGCCUCUUGGCUGGCAGCCACACCAGCCCCUGAAGGAGCUGGCUCCUUCUUUGAGGGAGGAGGAAUUCUAGGGAAGGUCUUGGAGCAUCCCUUGGCCUGGUAGCCUAACAUGAGUAAGGUGGAUGUCACCAUGUGUGUUACUGUGGACCCUCCAAUGGGGACAGCACAUCCAGAUUCUGAGGGCUGCUGUCAAUCCAGAAAAUUGUGAGGCACUGUGCUAAAGUAAAGCAUGGUGUCUCCCUGAGGGCAGGCACUCAAAAAAUGUUUUCUGAUAAUGAGGGGCUACCUACCUCCUGGAGAUAGGUAAGGAGAGGGAAUCACAAGGAGGCACAGACUCUGCCUCUCUCGCUUCCCAUUAGCCCCUUCUUUCCUUUGAAACCAAGGCUGUUUCCAAAACCUCUCCCAGAUGAGAUGUCUGAGCCUGUCAUUUGGUGAUCACCAGAGAAGGCACCACACUGUGGCCAAGACAGGUGCACAGGAUGACCUCAGGUUCCCCCUGCCCCUGUCCUGGCAGAAGAGCUGCAGAGAUCCAUCACCAUGGCUGACUCAAGCAGCUGCCAGGAUCUGGGAAAUUAGGAUCCACGGAAAAACCUGGGGCACAGUUCAGGCUAGCAACUUGCAGAAGCCAGCUUGCUCUGGGGUUACAAUAGUGUCCUGGAUAGGGAAAGAAAGACCGCCCUCCAUGUGCAGAUAAUUCCUCUCCAUGCAGGGGUGAUGUGUGAGCUAUGUGUAUAUGUGCUGCAGGGACCUCAUCAAGCAUCCCAGCCUGCAUGCACAGCUGUGUGCACACAUCCCAUUGGCAACAAGAGUAUGUUGUGUGUGAGUGUCUUCUUGGAAUUCCACCUUCCCUCUUCUCUGCAGAGCAGGCCUUCUCUUCUUGUUUCCUGGUAAAACGGGAAGUGAGGGAGUAACUUCAGUUUCAUUACCUCUAGCCCUUCUCCCUUGUGGAACAUCCUGUAUUUGGUCAUUUGCCUAUGACAGCAAGGAGUAGAUCCAUUCUUGGUCCAGAGUGAUCCUAGCUCCUCACUGGUCCAGAUGACCCCCAUCUUGAACAAAUUCCUCUGCCCUGGUACCUCUUUCUUCCCUUAGGAUGUCCCAUGCCAAUACCUCCUCUAAUGUCCAAAUCAAAGGGAGGGGUGGGAGGAACUUGGGGUGAUGCUGUGGGUGUGGGAGGAGGAAGGGUGGAUCAGAUACUGUUCGAUUUUGCCCAGGUCCCCUCGGAGCACUGCUGCUCAUUUAAAAUUCCGAUUUAAAGCCGAGCGGCUCUUUAAAUUUCCACAUUAGCAUGCCGCCCUGAUGCCAGGCCAAGAUGUUGGGAUGGAUUUGGCAGGAACGCCUCCAACAGCAGCAAGCAGCAGCAUUUGCCAGCAAUAAAACAACGCAUGAAUAAAAGAAGGCCGCUUGGCAGCAGCAGCAGCCCAGGUAGCUGGGUGAGCCCAAGAGGGGCAUUCAUAUGUGGGGGCUCAGAGGCAUGAAGGCCCAUGCAGGGGCAUGUGUGUGUGAGGGCUUCUGUGACUGUCUUGGCUUUCACCCCCAAUCUAUGCCUGCAGUGGAAUCUGGGGUGAGGGCCCAGGCAAGAUCAGGAUUUCUCCCUUGUGCCUGUCUCACCCUCCUCCCCCCAGGGGUUAUCCUCUUGGAGGGGACAGAUGUUGCCUUUGAUAAGGACACAAGGACUUGGCCUGAAGCCUUGAGUUGUCCUGCUUCAUUAGGGCCCAGAGAACAGGUGGGGUCAGAGAGAGCAACACUGCCCAGAGUGGCUUCCCAGAUCCAGGACCCUAGAUACCUGGGUGCUGACGGGCACUGUUAGGAUAAGGGGGCUGAGAAGCUGCUGUGAGCACUGGGUAUUGGCACUGAGCUGGAUGAAGAGAUGCUCUGGGCUGGGAGAUGGGCAAACGUCUGUGUGCUUGUUCAAGGUUAAGAAUGGGGAAUAGCCACAGACAGCAAGGAGCUACCACGUUUGUGCUAACUUUAACUCUUAACAGAUUUGGGAACAUUGUUUGAGGUCAGAUGGUAAGGGCAGCAAAGGAGUCAGAUAAAGCCCUGGGCUGGAGGCUGGACACCUCAUAAAGGUCAUUUUAUCUAUACCCUGCUUCCCAGGGUCUAGGGAGUACAGCCCCAAAGGACUGGCUGUUCCUGGAUUCUGUGUUCCUCUGCUCCAAUCACCUGGCCGAAGCUCAUCAUCUAGCUCCCCAGACAUUUUCAGGAUCAAGCAGCCUGUCCUGCAUCUGGUAAACUGCCUAUCCCUCCUACUUGGUUUAACCAUCUCUUUCCCUGAAGUCCAGGGUAAGAGGACAGAAGCAAACAGAGGGGUGGCAACAGAUGGUCUCUGCAGUCUCGGCAAGGCAAAAAAGAGGGAUUUUCUUCAGAGCACCUUCCUCUGAUGGAACUCCCCUCCCUUUCCAGCUCACAUGAAUGAUUUCAGGCCUCCAUGUGGGGAAAAACUGUUGAGACUUUGAAUUAUCUCAGUCCCUGGAAAGGCUGAAGAGCAGACAGGCAGGACCAGGCUCUGGCACAGCAAUGGCCCCAUACCCUGAAACUAGGACUGGUCCUGUCCUGAUGAGGGAGAACAAGGUGGCCUGACCUCCCAGGUACUUUGUUCCCUGGUCCACACAUUGGGGUGGGUGAGCUCAGGGUGAGGGAGUGGCUAAGAAGGGAGUUUAGGCCAGAGAGAUGUUCUUUUGUCAUUUAUUCAUUCAUUGAACAAGUAUUUACAAAACAGCUGCUUUAUGCUAGGCAUUGUUUCUGGGCACUGGGAACACAUUGGUGAACACAGAUAGAAAUGGUCACUGACCUUGUGGAACUUUCCAUCCAAUGAAACUAGGAUCAUUAUUCAAAUGACUGGACAAAUACAUAGGAAAUAACUGUGUUAAGUGCUCUGAAGGAAUGAUAUAUAGUACCAUGGAAGUGUGUAACUGGGGGACUUGACUGAGUCUAAGGAGUUGAGAAUGAGUUUGCAAAGGACA
rnacentral:lncRNA from 1 species